UACAGAGGGGGCGAGCGUUGUUCGGAAUUACUGGGCGUAAAGGGCGUGUAGGCGGUUUGUUAAGUUUGGCGUGAAAGCUCUCGGCUAAACCGGGAGAGGUCGUUGGAUACUGGCAAACUAGAGGACGGUAGAGGCGUGUGGAAUUCCGGGUGUAGUGGUGAAAUGCGUAGAUAUCGAGAGGAACACCAGUGGCGAAGGCGACUACCUGGCCCACUCUUGACGCUGAGGCGCGAAAGCUAGGGGAGCAAACGGG
rnacentral:rRNA from 1 species